UGCCAUUUAUAAUUGUUAUCAUUUUAGGAUGAGUAAGGAAAGAGAAGAUUAUAAUAAUGAUUACACUGCCAAGAGUUUGUGAUUGAAUUGUGAAUGAUAUCAGUCCUGAUCCGGCCUAAUGCAUCCUGAAUCAUAAAUCUUGGGCAGCAAUGAGCCUAGCUUGAUCUAUCAGCCUUGAUACAAUCAUGCUGAAAUUAAUACUGGUUCAGCCAGAGCAGCAUGCAUGAUUCAGCAAUGAUACUUGUCAGACUGUAUCAAUACUGUAAUCAGGCUUGAUUCAUUGAUUUUGGGCAGUGUCUUGUACCAUACCGAUAUUCUCCUCCAUAAGAGAGAACUCACUCCACAUUCUGUUCAGAAACUCUGAACAGAUUCACAUCCUCCAACAGUGUCUGGGAGCUGCCAAAGGGUGUAUAUGUAUGUUAAUGUGAGUCUAUUUGAUACUGUAAUGAAAUUAAUGAAUGCAAGACAAGUAGCACUGGGGAAGGCAACAAUUAACACACGUCACAAAAACAAUUUCAUGAUUAUAUUUCAUGAUAAUAA